UACAGAGGGUGCAAGCGUUGCUCGGAAUCAUUGGGCGUAAAGGGUAGGUAGGUGGUCUCAUUUGUCGGUAGGUGAAAGCCUUGGGCUUAACUCAAGAAGUGCCUCCGAAACGGUGAGACUAGAGUUCUGGAGAGGCUAGGGGAAUUCCCGGUGUAGCGGUGAAAUGCGUAGAGAUGCGGAGGAACACCGAUGGCGAAGGCAGCCCCCUGGGCUGACACUGACGCUCAGGCACGAAAGCGUGGGGAGCAAACAGG
rnacentral:rRNA from 1 species